UUGCUUCGGCAACACAUACACUAGAAUUGGAAACGAUACAGAGAUUAGCGUGGCCCUUGUGCAAGGAUGACACGCAAAUUCAUGAAGCGUUCCUCAUUUUU